CCAAUAGCGUAUAUUAAAGUUGUUGCAGUUAAAAAGCUCGUAGUUGAAUUUCGGGAUCGGUAGGUCGGUCGUGCCACUGGUAUGAACUGGUCUCACUGGUUCCUCCCUCUUGACGAACUGCAAUGCUAUUAAUUUAGUGUUGUAGGAAAUCAGGACUGUUACUUUGAAAAAAUUAGAGUGUUUAAAGCAGGCUUUGGCUUGAAUACAUUAGCAUGGAAUAAUGAAAUAGGACGUUCGAUCCUAUUUUGUUGGCUUCUAGGAUUGACGUAAUGAUUAAUAGGGACAGUUGGGGGCAUUAGUAUUCAAUUGUCAGAGGUGAAAUUCUUGGAUUUAUUGAAGACUAACUACUGCGAAAGCAUUUGCCAAGGAUGUUUUCAUUAAUCAAGAACGAAAGUUAGGGGAUCGAAGACGAUCAGAUACCGUCGUAGUCUUAACCAUAAACUAUGCCGACUAGGGAUCGGAUGAUGUUAAUUUUUUAAUGACUCAUUCGGCGCCUUACG
rnacentral:misc_RNA from 1 species